GGUUGUAUGGAGUAGUUGGUUAACUUAGGAGAUUCUGAUUGUUUGCUGUCAAGCGCCACAAUGCAAUUUGACUUCUCUUGCCCUGGGUUCGAAUCUCAGUACAACCU